rnacentral:lncRNA from 1 species
UGACCCUGAUCCAACAAGCGCUAGCAAAACUAAGGAAGUCAAACACUCUGAAAGAAAAGAAUGAAUCCAGACUCUGAAGAGAUACGCUCUGAAGAAGUUGAAUAAAGAGAAACUCUAAAGACAGUCAGAUACAAGCAUCCUCUGAAGUUGCAAGUUGCUAAAAGAAGACUCUGACUAAACUGAAGUAAGACUCUGACUAAGAUCC